GAUGAACGCUAGCUACAGGCUUAACACAUGCAAGUCGAGGGGAAACGCCAUCGAAAGCUUGCUUUUGAUGGGCGUCGACCGGCGCACGGGUGAGUAACGCGUAUCCAACCUGCCCAUCACUUGGGAAUAACCUUGCGAAAGUAAGACUAAUACCCAAUGAUAUCCCACGAAGGCAUCGGAAUGGGAUUAAAGAUUUAUCGGUGAUGGAUGGGGAUGCGUCUGAUUAGCUUGUUGGCGGGGUAACGGCCCACCAAGGCAACGAUCAGUAGGGGUUCUGAGAGGAAGGUCCCCCACAUUGGAACUGGGACACGGUCCACACUCCUACGGGAGGCAGCAGUGAGGAAUAUUGGUCAAUGGGCGAGAGCCUGAACCAGCCAAGUAGCGUGCAGGAAGACGGCCCUAUGGGUUGUAAACUGCUUUUAUAAGGGAAUAAAGUGGGUCACGUGUGACUUUUUGCAUGUACCUUAUGAAUAAGGACCGGCUAAUUCCGUG
rnacentral:rRNA from 1 species